ACAAGAACAUUGCACGGUUUCACAUUAUCCAUUGCAUGGUUUCCAUCACAUUAUCUAUUUUUCUCAAAUCAGAAUUAGGUUAUACAGAAACCAACGCUGCAAGGCAAAUCCCCUCCAAGAGUAAACCUCCACACCUCAGUAAGAUGGAACCAUGGAUUGGACAUCGUCAAUGACUAGGUCAGACCUAUACAAUUCCAAGGCAAAUAAUGAACAUCAUCGACCCCCGACAGAUACAAAAUGGAUGGUCAAUGUAGAGGUAAAACAACAACAACAAUUUAUAUUCACAUAGCAAACGUCUUAGUUCCUUCUUAGGCUUUUUUAUCAAGGCGUCCAAAAGUCAUGGCUUCUCGACGUUGCCCCUUCCGUAACAAGUGUGGGAAUUUUUUAGACUGUUUGUUCUUUUUCUUUCUUGCUGGAUUAGAAACUUAAGGAUCCAUUCCUUAUCUUUUAAGAGUCUAAUUUUAGAGAUCUCAAAUCCCGCUGGCUUAUGUAAUGUGUGAACUUUACAAUAAAGAAAUUAGUUUUUCUUUUUA